rnacentral:rRNA from 1 species
GUGAAAUUGUUGAAAGGGAAGCGCUUGCAACCAGACCUGCCUGCAGUUGCUCAUCCGGGCUUUUGCCCGGUGCACUCUUCUGCUGUCAGGCCAGCAUCAGUUCGGGCGGUCGGAUAAAGGCUUCGGGAAUGUAGCUCCUCUCGAGGAGUGUUAUAGCCCGUUGCGAAAUGCGGCCAGCCUGAACUGAGGUCCGCGCUUCGGCUAGGAUGCUGGCGUAAUGGUUGUAAGCGGCCCGUCUUGAAACACGGACCAAGGAGUCUAACAUCUGUGCGAGUGUUUGGGUGUCAAACCCGUACGCGUAAUGAAAGUGAACGGAGGCGGGAACCCCUCGGGGUGCACCGUCGACCGAUCCUGAUGUCUUCGGAUGGAUUUGAGUAAGAGCAUAGCUGUUGGGACCCGAAAGAUGGUGAACUAUGCCUGAAUAGGGUGAAGCCAGAGGAAACUCUGGUGGAGGCUCGCAGCGGUUCUGACGUGCAAAUCGAUCGUCAAAUUUGGGCAUAGGGGCGAAAGACUAAUCGAACUAUCUAGUAGCUGGUUCCUGCCGAAGUUUCCCUCAGGAUAGCAGUAACGUUUUCAGUUUUAUGAGGUAAAGCGAAUGAUUAGAGGCCUGGGGGUUGAAACAACCUUCACCUAUUCUCAAACUUUAAAUAUGUAAGAAGUCCUUGUUGCUUAGUUGAACGUGGACAUUUGAAUGUAUCGUUACUAGUGGGCCAUUUUUGGUAAGCAGAACUGGCGAUGCGGGAUGAACCGAAAGCGGAGUUAAGGU